rfam:Tenacibaculum dicentrarchi strain AY7486TD, complete genome.
CCGCAUUAGCGAUUGAAACGGCAUCCUUUUUUAUUUUUUAUAAAAAAGAUAUAGUGGAAAGCGCGACCUGCA